GGGAAGAGCUCUACAGGGGGCUUUACUUUUGAAAGAUGAUAUGAAGAAAGGUAGAAAAAGCUUCCUAAAUAUAGAUAGAGGUUUAGAAGGAUGUAGCUGUUCAUAAAAGUUUGCAUUUGUGCAGCACCUUGGUGCAUAUUGUUGGGCAAAGUGGAGACGUGUAUAAUGAGGCAUGGAAAACAUAAAUUCAGUUGGCUGGGAUCAUGGAGUAAGUAAUUAUCCCUGUGGGAUCAUGGAGUAAGUAAUUAUCAUGGAGUAAGUAAUUAUCCCGGAUCGCAGGUGGAUUAGUUACUGGGCUGCAUCUGCAAUAAGCAAUUAAAGGAAAACAUCUGUUUCACAUCGACCAUUUCUUCUUUUCCAGGAUACUCCUCCACUUUGUCUCUCUGAUACUGCAACCUGGAGACAAGUCACUUCUCUAAUGAGGCUGUGCAAACAUCAUGUGUUCCUACGUGGAAAGAAGCAGAGAAGGCCAGGAGCAACAGGACACAGAGGCAGGAUCAAAACAGGUUAGACAGAAAACGCCAGACGUGGCCAGGUUGUCACUGGGUUUGGCAGACCAGCACCUGCAGGGGAAGCCACAGACUUCCCUGUCCCUUCUGCUCCGGGCCAUGACACAAGCAGGUAAUCCAGUGACACUGAGCCUGAGAGUGUGA
rnacentral:lncRNA from 1 species